rnacentral:snRNA from 1 species
AAUAUCAGCCCAAGUAUUAAUA